rnacentral:rRNA from 1 species
UACGAAGGGGGCUAGCGUUGCUCGGAAUCACUGGGCGUAAAGCGCACGUAGGCGGAUCUUUAAGUCAGGGGUGAAAUCCUGGAGCUCAACUCCAGAACUGCCUCUGAUACUGGGGAUCUUGAGUCCGGAAGAGGUAAGUGGAACUGCGAGUGUAGAGGUGAAAUUCGUAGAUAUUCGCAAGAACACCAGUGGCGAAGGCGGCUUACUGGUCCGGUACUGACGCUGAGGUGCGAAAGCGUGGGGAGCAACAGG